CUGUGAGCUCGAUGAGUAGGGCGGGACACGUGGUAUCCUGUCUGAAUAUGGGGGGACCAUCCUCCAAGGCUAAAUACUCCUGACUGACCGAUAGUGAACCAGUACCGUGAGGGAAAGGCGAAAAGAACCCCGGCGAGGGGAGUGAAAAAGAACCUGAAACCGUGUACGUACAAGCAGUGGGAGCACGCUUAGGCGUGUGACUGCGUACCUUUUGUAUAAUGGGUCAGCGACUUAUAUUCUGUAGCAAGGUUAACCGAAUAGGGGAGCCGAAGGGAAACCGAGUCUUAACUGGGCGUUAAGUUGCAGGGUAUAGACCCGAAACCCGGUGAUCUAGCCAUGGGCAGGUUGAAGGUUGGGUAACACUAACUGGAGGACCGAACCGACUAAUGUUGAAAAAUUAGCGGAUGACUUGUGGCUGGGGGUGAAAGGCCAAUCAAACCGGGAGAUAGCUGGUUCUCCCCGAAAGCUAUUUAGGUAGCGCCUCGUGAAUUCAUCUCCGGGGGUAGAGCACUGUUUCGGCAAGGGGGUCAUCCCGACUUACCAACCCGAUGCAAACUGCGAAUACCGGAGAAUGUUAUCACGGGAGACACACGGCGGGUGCUAACGUCCGUCGUGAAGAGGGAAACAACCCAGACCGCCAGCUAAGGUCCCAAAGUCAUGGUUAAGUGGGAAACGAUGUGGGAAGGCCCAGACAGCCAGGAUGUUGGCUUAGAAGCAGCCAUCAUUUAAAGAAAGCGUAAUAGCUCACUGGUCGAGUCGGCCUGCGCGGAAGAUGUAACGGGGCUAAACCAUGCACCGAAGCUGCGGCAGCGACACUAUGUGUUGUUGGGUAGGGGAGCGUUCUGUAAGCCUGUGAAGGUGUACUGUGAGG
rnacentral:rRNA from 1 species